AUUGAACGCUGGCGGAAGGCCUAACACAUGCAAGUCGACCGAGUGGCGGACGGGUGAGUAAUGUCGGGGAACAUGCCCGAUGGAGGGGAAUAACUACUGGAAACGGUCGCUAAUAGCGCAUACAAUCCGAUGUGGCCCGAUGGGAUGAGCGAGGUGGGGGGGUAACGGCUAACAUAGGCGACGAUCCCUAGCUGGUCUGAGAGGAUGAACAGCCACACUGGAACUGAGACACGUCCCAGACUCCUACGGGAGGCAGCAGUGGGGAAUAUUGCACAAUGGGCGCAAGCCUGAUGCAGCCAGGCCGCGUGUAUGAAGAAGGCCUUCGGGUUGUAAAGUACUUUCAGCGAGGAGGCGUUACUCGCAGAAGAAGCACCGGCUAACUCCGUGCCAGCAGCCGCGGUAAUAC
rnacentral:rRNA from 1 species